GCUGAAAGCAUCUAAGUGUGAAACCCACCUCAAGAUGAGAUUUCCCAUGAUUUUAUAUCAGUAAGAGCCCUGAGAGAAGAUCAGGUAGAUAGGUUAGAAGUGGAAGUGUGGCGACACAUGUAGCGGACUAAUACUAAUAGCUCGAGGACUUAUCCAA
rnacentral:rRNA from 1 species